ACCACCACCACGGCCACCAUGGACACAAGCACCACCACCACCACCUUGCACACCCUCCCAAGCAAGGCAAACAUGGUCACCAUGGACAUGGUCUCAAUGAGGCAUCAGAAACUGAAACCUAUAAUGCCAAUUAUUAGAAUCAGAUGAAACCUUUUAAUUCCCUUUAUGCUGUAAAUAAGUGGCAUGUGUGCGCUAAUAAGGCAUGGCCAUAAUGCCCUAAUUAAGAAAUAAAAUUGUGUUUGCUAAAUGCUUUUG
rnacentral:lncRNA from 1 species